ensembl:lincRNA
UAAUACUUGAGCCCUCGAAUUUUAUUUUCGGUGGUGCUCAAGGUCCUGCUUCUAUCUCCUAGCUGCGGGUGGCCCUGCACCACUUUGCCUUGGCAUCUCCCGAGGGAGGGAGCACUUGCCCUUGGAGAAGAUGAGUGAAUCCAGGGAGUCGUGGACAUUAGAGGGUGUCCACCAAAGAAAGAAGGUGGUCUGAAAGAAAAACUAAAACACUGUGCAGUGUGGGGGGCUUAAAUGUGAAGUUAUUAUUUCUCUCCUGCACUUGGUGUGACCUCCAGAUUCCCAGCUGCCACAUGUCUGUCUGCCUGACAGGACCCCUUCACCCCCUGCAAGGAUGUGUAACUGGAGGAGAAAAGCAUGAAGGUGAGCAGUUCUGUGUCAGUGACUCUGGCUCAACCCUUGUGUGGUAAGGAGAGGACACAACUGUCCUCCAGGGUCUCUGGGGUGUGGCUGGCUGAUGUUGGCACUCAGGCUUCUGAAGGUCAACUUCCUCCACAGGUGGCAAGCUUGGCCAGAGGAACCUGUGCACUCUGGAGGUGCAGGACAGAGUCACACUGGAACUGCUUGGCUUCCUACCCGAGCUCACAGCUUCUGUCCACUGGUGGGCACUGACCAGCAAUGAACCACCUGGGGCUGCAUCUCCUUUGUGUCUGCAGAUCAGGGCAUGCUGACCCCUUCUGAGCUGUCCCCUGCUUGCUAUCUCUCCUCCCAUCUACCCAGGACCUCUACCACUGUCCAUUGCAUGCCCUGAGGUCCAUCCCAGGGUCAGAUUUGGAAGGAACUUCCCCAUGUCCCGGGAGCCCGUGGGUAAGUGUGCACAGGGUCCCUAGGGCAGGACAGGGAUAUGUGCGAUGCCACUUUAACCACUACCGAGGAUAAAAAGAUGGUCACUGCAGUGUCUACCUGGCACAGGCACAGGACCUUGCAGGGGGAGAUCAGGAAAGGCACUUUCAAAGCCCAGAAGUGCUGGCAGAGCUGCAGAGAGUUAUUCUUGACUUAGGACAGGGGACACGCAUAGCUCCCCAACUCCCCUGGAAGGCUAACUUUUUCCCUGUGACUCUAGCCGAGCUCAUCACUAACCAUCUCCUGUGCCUGGAUCUGUUAGUUGCUCAAGUUCUGACUUCCCAAGACUACAGCAGAACCCAUAAAAGAACAUGCCAUGGAUGUGAGCAGCUGCUCAGGGUGAAAGCACCUGGGGUCAGAAGGUGACCUGGGUGCUUACCAACUUUGUGUGCACAUGCAGGUGGGAGAGGGCACAUGUGUGUGCAUACUGACGUGUGAGAAAGAAAGACUCAGUCUGGCAAGUUACUUAGAUAAACCUGCAUAACUGGGAUGAUCAUGGCUGCCUCGUGGGGGGUCCACUGAAGGUUACAUGGCCCCUGUGUAAGCUGCUUGGUGAGGAGCCCAGUGUUAGCUUUCCAAACACACUAGCCCUUAUCACUCAUCAAACACCUGCUGGCAUUCAUCAUCUGUCCAACAUGGAGGGUACUCCUCUGCGAAUUCACCCUGGUGGGGACAUAAGGAACUUUUCUACUGUUGCCAGAGGCUGGGGACCUUCCAGGAGGCUCCCGGUGUGGGGUAUGGUUCUCAGCCCCUGUAGUGGCCAAGGGAGACCAUAGCCACUGAGCAUUCCCAAGAGGGGCAGAAAGGAUAGAGCACAGGGUGCCUGCCAGGCCUUUGCUCAGGGACAGCAAGGGGUGGCUUUGCCCUGAAUCUUGUGGUGAUAGCAACAGUGAAGCAAUUACUUACUCUGGCUGUGCCACAAUCAUCUUUACAGCAAGAGAAUUUUUCCAGGGAAGGAGGGAAUGUCAGAAAUUUACUGCAGGGAGCUGCUCCUUGGAUGCCUGUACCAGAGAAAAAAGGACAAAACACUUAGGGAAAUUAGAAGCCAUUUAGAAAAUAAAUCCCCAGGGGCUGUUCUGAAUAUCAAUCUGUGAGAAGGACAGCUCUGUCUCUGCUACACUUUACUGCUGUCCCUGUGGCCACCAGCCAGGUCCAUUUCUCCAGGGUGUUCAGUCCUGGCUCUGGUGGUCACAAUACAUGCCUCGUAGAGGUGGAUUUGGACUCCACAGAAAACACCCACCUGCAGAUCCGUGGGCAGCAAGAGGCUCUGUGCCCUCCAUGUGCAUUUGGCAAGUACGCGAUGCCACUUUAACCACUAUGAAGGAUAAAAAGAUGGUCACUGCGCAGUGUCUACCUGACACAGGCAUAGGACCCUGCAGGGGGAGAUCAGGAGAGGCACUUUCAAAGCCCAGAAGUGCUGGUGGAACUGCAGAGAGCUAUUCCUGACUCAGGACAGGGGACAUGCAUAGCUCUCCAACUCCCCUGGAAGUCACUGUGGUCUCUCUGCAGCCAGCUGCUGCCAAGAAACUGAAGUAGCCCCUGGAGGAGAUCCCUUAUCUCCCUGAGAACUUUGUCCUCAAGUAUUUGAUUUAAAAACUUUAAAGCUGCAUCCUGGGGUGAAUGUGGCUGAGGCUCUGGAGCCCAGGGCCCACAAGACCCAGAGCCCAGAGCCACUAAAGCAAGGACUGUGCCCCCAGAGACCAUGGGUUUUAUCAUGUUUUCAUUUUACUUUGUGUCUUGUUUAAAACCUCUUCUGUCUGUAACUUCAUGAAGAGAUGAGGCUGAAUCCAGAGGCUCACUGUGGUGUCCACACUGGCACGGGAGGCUCCUUCUUUGCCAUCCUGUGGCUGGAUCCAUCCAGAGGCCGACCUUGUGGCAUCUCAGCCUUGCCCUGGACACCAUUGGACUUGCCUGGACCUGUGGCUUCCUGUCAGGGACCACUUUAAGUGAGGUCUUGCAUUCUCCCCAAACCCCAUCUGCUACACAGCCAACAAAAUCGGUAGUUUUCAUGAUUGUCUGUAAUGUUUCCUGAUUUUAAUUUCUAAUUGUUGCUUUAUUCAGAAUAAAUCACUCGAG